AUGGAUUCUCAUGACAUGCAUAUCCAGCUUCCUAACAAAGACCCUCUGGUCUUUGCGGAGGGUUUCAAUCCUGAUCCUGGGAUUGAGAUCAAUAUGCAAGGCCUAUCCAUCCAAGAUCCACAAGUUAUACAUAUCCAGGCUCACCAACAUCAUUCAGAUCCGGCCAAAGAAAAAGAUAGUGAUGCACCUUACAAUAUCUUGAUGAAGCUGGCUGUUACUGGAGGACAGCCAAGAGCUCUCUCUCUCUCUCAGCGUAGUUCAGCAGUCUAUGGCCAGAGCAUGGAGGGAGAAUUAUCAGGGUAUAUCUCAACUUUCAAGGUACAUAUUUGUGGCACACUUUCAGUCCUUGCAAUCUGCUAUGUUCGUGUUCACUAG
rnacentral:rRNA from 1 species